rnacentral:ncRNA from 1 species
AAUCCGGUUGAUCCUGCCGGAGGCGACCGCUAUUGGAGUUCGAUUAAGACAUGCGAGUCAGAGCACUAGCUCGGCAUACCGCUCAGUAACACGUGGGUAACCUGCCCUAUUGUUUCGAAUAACCUCGGGAAACUGAGAACAACACGAGAUAGUCCACUACGCCUGGAACGGUGAGUGGAUAAAGAUAGGAUGGGCCUGCGGCGUAUCAGGUCGUAGGGGGUGUAAAGUACCCUCUAGCCAUCUACGCGUACGGGUGUUGGGAGACAUAGCCCGGAGAUGGAUUCUGAGACACGAAUCCAGGCCCUACGGGGCGCAGCAGUUACG